rfam:Mesocricetus auratus contig181632, whole genome shotgun sequence.
GUGAGAGACAGCUCAGUAGUUAAGAGCCCUGGCUGCUCUUCCAGAGGACCUGGGUUCAAUUCCUAGCACACACA